rnacentral:sRNA from 1 species
GCCGGGUGCGGUGGCCCACGCCUGUAAUCCCAGCCGCUUGGGAGGCUGAGACAGGAGGAUCACGAGUUCAAAGCCAGCCUCAGCAAAAGUGAGGCACUAAGCAACUCAGUGAGACUCUGUCUCUA